rnacentral:rRNA from 1 species
UACGUAGGGAGCAAGCGUUGUCCGGAAUCAUUGGGCGUAAAGCGCGCGUAGGCGGCCUCAUAAGUCCGUUGUGAAAGUCAAAGGCUCAACCUUUGAAAGCCGAUGGAUACUGUGAGGCUAGAGUCCGGAAGAGGCGAGUGGAAUUCCUGGUGUAGCGGUGGAAUGCGCAGAUAUCAGGAGGAACACCGGUGGCGAAGGCGGAUCUCUGGGCCUUACCUGACGCUCAGGCGCGAAAGCUAGGGGAGCGAACUGG